rnacentral:rRNA from 1 species
AGUGAACGCUGGCGGUAGGCCUAACACAUGCAAGUCGAACGGCAGCACAGUAAGAGCUUGCUCUUACGGGUGGCGAGUGGCGGACGGGUGAGGAAUACAUCGGAAUCUACUUUUUCGUGGGGGAUAACGUAGGGAAACUUACGCUAAUACCGCAUACGACCUACGGGUGAAAGCAGGGGAUCUUCGGACCUUGCGCGAUUGAAUGAGCCGAUGUCGGAUUAGCUAGUUGGCGGGGUAAAGGCCCACCAAGGCGACGCUCCGUAGCUGGUCUGAGAGGAUGGUCAGCCACACUGGAAGAGAGACACAGUCGAGACACCUACAGGAGGCAGCAGUGGGGAAUAUUGGACGAUGGGGGCAAGGCUGAUCCAGCCAUACCGCGUGAGUGAAGAAGGACUUCGGGUGGGAAAGCCAUUUUGUUGGGAAAGAAAAGCAGCAGGUUAAUACCCCGCUGUUCUGACGGUACCCAAAGAAUAAGCACCGGCUAACUUCGUG